rnacentral:rRNA from 1 species
CUAAGGCUCCAGAGGAAGCCACGGCUAACUCUGUGCCAGCAGCCGCGGUAAUACAGAGGCGGCAAGCGUUGUUCGGAAUUACUGGGCGUAAAGAGCACGUAGGCGGCCUUGCAAGUCAGUUGUGAAAGCCUUCCGCUUAACGGAAGAAUGCCAGCUGAUACUACAGGGCUUGAGUACGGGAGGGGAGAGUGGAACUUCUGGUGGAGCGGUGAAAUGCGUAGAUAUCAGAAGGAACGCCGGCGGCGAAAGCGACUCUCUGGCCCGAAACUGACGCUGAGUGUGCGAAAGCUAGGGGAGCAAACGGGAUUAGAUACCCCGGUAGUCCUAGCCGUAAA